rnacentral:rRNA from 1 species
GACGAACGCUGGCGGCGUGGAUUAGGCAUGCAAGUCGAACGGUAUCAUCCUUUCGGGGGUGAGAGAGUGGCGAACUGGUGAGUAACACGUAGGUUAUCUACCCUCAAGACGGGGACAACCCAGGGAAACUUGGGCUAAUACCGGAUGUGAGCAACUUUUUAGUUGUUUUGAAAGGUGGCGUAAGCUGUCGCUUGGGGAUGAGCCUGCGUCCUAUUAGUUAGUUGGUGAGGUAACGGCUCACCUAGGCAAUGAUAGGUAGGCGGCCUUAACGGGUGGUCGCCCACACUGGGAUUGAGAUACGGCCCAGACUCCUACGGGAGGCAGCAGUCGAGAAUAGUCUACAAUGGUCGGAAGACUGAUAGGUGCGACGCCGCGUGAACGAUGAAUCCCUUCGGGGUGUAAAGUUCUUUUAUAUGUGAGCAGUGCUUCUUAUAUUAACAGUACGGGGAGAGAGAUAUUAGCAUAUGAAUAAGCAACGGCUAACUCCGUGCCAGCAGCCGCGGUAAACUCGU